rnacentral:rRNA from 1 species
AUGUGGGAUCCUCUCGAACAGCUCAUGCUCACUGUCGACUACGAUGGCAGGGUCACCCGCUCCAUCGGCCCCCUCUCCGACGGGAUGUACUACUCGGAUUUGAUCCCCUACGUCAACUCAUACAUAGAGAUCUACAUGUACUACUUGGAUUAA